GUCGUCAAGCAGCACAUAUGGGAAAGGAAAAACAAAUAUCUGUCAGGCACAAGUCCAUCUUCAGUCAUUCAAAGGUCUCUCUCGGCAACUGGAUGCAGUUCAUGCACAGAUUUUCUCAGGGUCUCCGGUUACGACAGAUUGAUAUGAUGGAUGACACAAUUGCAGCGAGUUCAGCAACUCUCACUAAAAUGGCAAAAAAAUUAAGGGAGGUCUGUGUCACAGCAGUUGAAAGGAUGAGAAGGCGUAGAGGCCAGCUGAUUGGUGGAAGAAGGUAGUUUGUUGUGAUUGAUGAGAGCCAUUUUUGGCACAAAAGAAAGUAUGGGAGAGGAAGAAUGGCUGGCGGAUGGAAAAGAAAGAAGUGGGUCUUUGGGAUGUUGGGUGUGAGGCAUCAUCAAGGACGAAGAAAGCCUAUUCUGCGUCUUGUGGAGAGAAGAUCUCGAAGACAUCUAGUCCCUUUGAUUGCCCAUCAUGUGAGGCCUGGAUCUUCAGUUAUCAGUGACGAGUGGCGUGCUUAUCGCGUACUCUCUGCACUAGGAUAUAACCAUUACACUGUCAACCACAGCAGAUGGUAUGUAGAUCCCCAAACUGGUGCCCAUACUCAACAUCUUGAGAGAGCCUGGAGAUCCUAUAAGGAGCAGAUCUGGAGGCUUAGGGGAAAUCGUAAUGACAGUUUGCUUUCUGACCACCUUUCUCUGAUUGAGUGGAAUGAAUGGCUCGCAAAGAAACACCGUGAUGGUGCAUUUGGGAGACUGAUUCAUGACAUUUCCAGAAAGUACAAGUAGUCAUAUGCAGUCACUGUGGCCAUUGUUAAAAAAUGUACCUUUCUGUGGGAGAUGGCUGUGACAAAUUCCAAGGAAUCAGUGUGCUUUGUUUUAGUAGUGUCAUAAAAUUACAUUUCCUGUCUUAUUUUAUCAUGUGUUGAGUUUAUUUUAUCUGUUUUAUAAUAGUGAGACUUCUGAGGUUUAGAAUGAUGUUAAAU